CAGUCGCCACGGGAAUACGAAGGGGGCUAGCGUUGUUCGGAUUAACUGGGCGUAAAGGGCGCGUAGGCGGGUUUUUAAGUCAGAGGUGAAAUCCCAAGGCUCAACCUUGGAACUGCCUUUGAUACUGUGUUGCUUGAGUUCGGGAGAGGUGAGUGGAAUUCCCAGUGUAGAGGUGAAAUUCGUAGAUAUUGGGAAGAACACCGGUGGCGAAGGCGGCGACCUGGUCCUUUACUGACGCUGAGGCGCGAAAGCGUGGGGAGCAAACAGGAUUAGAGACCCGUGUAGUCCCUGUCUCUUAUAC
rnacentral:rRNA from 1 species